AGGAAAAGAGACCCUGCGGCUGGAAUGAGAAGCCAGUCUGAUGGACAGAUGAGCCUGAGCAGCAGUGGAGGAGGGGCAAGAGAAUUCUGGCAGUUCUGGAAGCAGAGUAGAACUCUGAAGCAACUGACAGGCACUUCCAGCCUGGGAGGCUUAGGGGAGUGCUCAACCGGAUCUCUCUAUUGGCUGGGGACCUGGCUCUAUCCAGAGACCCUCCACCACUCUUCUGGGAUUUGUCUACAGCUACCGGAUUCUCAAGAGGGAUUUUGUCGGACUGUCUCUGCCUGAGCCAACCUGAUCCUCUCCCUUAGUAGUCUGUCUCCCCUACCCGUCCCUGGGACUGAACCCUAUAAUUUAGAACGUUUGUGAAAACAACCUGAACUGUGAACAUUUUCCUGAGGACAGGAAAAGUCCUUCCUGUAAGAGAUCAUUCGACACGCUUCUUGAACCCGGCUCAGAGAUUUCCUGGGUUUUCACUGUGCCUCCUUCCUGGAGUGUGUACGGGCAGCCUCUAAAGCCUGCCUACUGCUGGCCCAGGAACAAAGGAAGGAGGGUUCAAGGUCUUGGGUUCCUCCUGGAGUGUGUUCCGGCAGUGAGAAGGAGACAGAGAGGAGCGGCUCUGCCGGGCUACACGGGACAUCUUUUGCGUCAGGAUGCUGCCCGGCGGUGAUCUCUAUCGAGGCCUUUUGAAUGAACGAUUCUCCUCCUGCAUCCAUUAUUUCCUGCACUCGUGAGAGGCCUCUAACGAGAUGGAGAAGGAAAACAGACUCCUUGUACCUGCUACCUGCUACUUGGAACGUAAUCCAGGGCCAACAGGGCCAAGGGACUCGAGGAACGACAGAAGAGACGGGCCGGCUCGAAGGGGCUCUAGUUUUCGACUGCUUGAGUGCUUCACGGACGCAAGUCACUUCGUAUCUAGUCGUCAGGACAGUUUGGCUCUCGAGGGGGUUCAGAAUUGUUCCAAGUGUUUAUCGGACUGAUGGGUUCAUUCCCAAACACAUUUUUAUGCACAAAAGCUGGAAAUUCCCAGGAUUGAAACGAACGUUCAAACUGAAAAGGGAAACGUGUCACGGGAGCAACAAGUGAGCCGAGAGAGUUUCUUUGCUCCCCACAACCUCUGAAAACUCUCCAAAACAGACGUGAUGCACCAAAGAGAAAUAACUACAGCGCUUCCCAAAGGUUAAAAAGAAGCCCAGCCCUGAGCUCCCGGCACUCCUCCUAACGGUCCCACACGGCCAGCAACAAGGCUUGCAUGAACCGACUCAAGGGCACGCCGAGCCGGACGGCACAAAAAUGCCGGGCUCCUCCUUCCUGUGUUGGGAGACUCCUGGUCCAGAUUUGGGGAGUUUUGCUCAGGCCUUCACAAUCUGCUGGCCACAGCCCUUUGGGUCAAGAGCCCAACGCACCAGCGCUGCAAAGUUCUAAACUGCCAGUGCUGGGAAAACCAUUACUGAAGUGCCGCUGGCAGCUUGCCGAGACAGGACACUGCGCAUGGGCAAAGACUGCGCCGGAAGGAAAGUCACAGCAUCCAGCUAGAGGCGCCUCUGAUUACCCAAAAGUCAGUGGCCGCAGAAAUCUAGGCUGGGAACUAGACGAUGUCCGCGUAGAAGGCUGAGACUGAGAAUUUUAACCCCAAGGAAAGCACAGUCGCAGGGGAAGGAGUUUAAAAAGGAGUGAUAAGGAAAACCCCGGGGAGGGAAACUGAAACGCCAAAGACUUCAGGAAUAAGAAAAUUCAAAGACCUCAAAUGUAAACACAAAUCAAUAGGAAAAUCAAUAAGAACAGAAGGAAAUAUGUCUUCUAGAGCCAAAAAAUGAGUUCAGUCAUAUAUGAAUGAAUAUUACAAAAUAAAGUAAAAUGCCCCAACACUUGACGAGACUGAAGUGCCGGCUAAUGGACCCCAAGGAUGAAACGGUGACCAACAAUGUCCCUCACAGGAGGGAGGUUAUUAAACAAACUGCACUUUGUCUAACAAUGGCUGAGCCCCGAGUCUGGGGCUUGCAGGUCCUUUUAUACACUGGAGUGACCAGGAACUUUUGUGGCAGGGGGAGUGCACAGGAAUUCCUGGGGAGGGGGAGUGACCAGGAACUUUUGUGGCAGGGGGAGUGCACAGGAAUUCCUGGGGAGGGGAGUGACCAGGAACUUGACCGGAACCCCUGGGGCGGGGGUCUUACUGGCACCUGGCAUAUGUCAGGAGGGGGAGCGACAGGUCUAUGGGGGAGGGGGACAGGCAGGGGAGAAAGUAGUUCUGGGAACUGGUUCUUCAAGACACAGGACUCUAUGGAUUUUAAAGAGGACAUGGAACCAAAUGUUGUCCCUGAAAAGAAAAUGAGAAUUAGGAGAGCAAAAUGUAUGUCCUAUACAGCAAAAA